AACCUGCCCAGCAGAGCGACCAGCGAACAUGUUUAUCAUGCAUGGGGCGGGGGCGUAAGCCCCCUCCCCACGUCGGGGAGGCACUCCGCCUCGGCGGGGCGCCCUCCCGGCACAAUAACGAACCCCGGCGCGGUCUGCGCCAAGGAACAUGGAUACAAGCGUGCCCUUCCGUGCCCGGUUCUCCGGGCGCAGGGGUGGCACCAAGUCGUAUAUAACAUUAAACGACUCUCGGCAACGGAUAUCUCGGCUCUCGCAUCGAUGAAGAACGUAGCGAAAUGCGAUACUUGGUGUGAAUUGCAGAAUCCCGUGAACCAUCGAGUCUUUGAACGCAAGUUGCGCCCGAAGCCUUUAGGUCGAGGGCACGCCUGCCUGGGCGUCACGCAUCGCGUCUCCCCCCACCCACCAAGCGUGGGAAGGGACGGAGGAGGAUGGCCUCCCAUGCCUCACCGGGCGUGGAUGGCCUAAAUACGGAGCCCCCGGUUACGAGAUGCCGCGGCGAUUGGUGGUAGACGAGGCCUAGCCUAGGAUAUCGCGCCGCGCACCACGUAGCUCCCGAGGUCUCGCAGGACCCUUAGUUGUCUGCCCCCCGGGGCGGCAAAACCGUU
rnacentral:misc_RNA from 1 species